rnacentral:rRNA from 1 species
GAGUUUGAUCCUGGCUCAGGACGAACGCUGGCGGUGUGCUUAACACAUGCAAGUCAACGAGAAUUUAUCUUCGGAUAAUAGUAAAGUGGCGAACGGGUGAGUAACGCGUAAAUAACUUGCCUUGGAGAUUGGGACAACAUUGGGAAACCAGUGCUAAUACCAAAUAAUGCAGCGGGCCCUUCGGGGCAUAGUUGUUAAAGUAGGCUUCGGCUUACACUUCAAGAUAGAUUUGCGUCCGAUUAGUUAGUUGGUAGGGUAAUAGCCUACCAAGACUGAGAUCGGUAGCUGGUCUGAGAGGAUGAUCAGCCACACUGGAAUUGAGAUACGGUCCAGACUCCUACGGGAGGCAGCAGUGAGGAAUUUUGCACAAUGGGCGAAAGCCUGAUGCAGCAACACCGCGUGAUUGAUGAAGUUUUUAGGAAUGUAAAAAUCUGUCGUAAGGGAAGAAAUGUUUCGGAUGUUAAUACCAUCUGUUACUGACGGUACCUUACAAGAAAGGACCGGCUAACUUCGUGCCAGCAGCCGCGGUAAUACGAGGGGUCCUAGCGUUGUCCGGAUUUACUGGGCGUAAAGGGUGCGUAGGCGUUUUAAUAAGUUGUAUGUUAAAUAUCUUAGCUUAACUAAGAAAGUGCAUACAAAACUGUUAAGAUAGAGUUUGAGAGAGGAACGCAGAAUUCAUGGUGGAGCGGUGACAUGCGUAGAUAUCAUGAGGAAAGUCAAAUGCGAAGGCAGCCUUCUGGCUCAAAACUGACGCUGAGGUACGAAAGCGUGGGGAGCGAACAGGAUUAGAUACCCUGGUAGUCCACGCCGUAAACGAUGAGUAUUUGGUGCUGGGGGGAUUC